rnacentral:lncRNA from 1 species
UCCUGCUGUUGUACAAUCUGUUAUGUUCUGAAGUAAUUUGUAGUUGUGUGUGCUAUACUGGUGGUGUACAAUCUGUUAUGUUCUAAAGUAAUUUGUAGUUGUGUGUUCUAUACUGCUAGUGUACAAUCUGUUAUAUUCUGAAGUAAUUUGUAGUUGUGUGUUUUAUUCUGCUGUUGUACAAUCUGUUAUGUUCUGAAGUAAUUUGUAGUUGUGUGUUCUAUACUGCUAGUGUACAAUCUGUUAUAUUCUGAAGUAAUUUGUAGUUGUGUGUUUUAUCCUGCUGGUGUACAAUCUGUUAUGUACUGAAGUAACUUGUUAAUGUGUAUUCUAUACUGCUGGUGUACAAUCUGUUAUGUUCUGAAGUAAUUUGUAGUUGUGUGUUCUAUACUGCUAGUGUACAAUCUGUUAUAUUCUGAAGUAAUUUGUAGU